rnacentral:rRNA from 1 species
GAACGCUAGCGGCAGGCCUCAUACAUGCAAGUCGAGGGGCAGCAGGGCACUUAGGUGCUGCUGGCGACCGGCGAACGGGUGCGUAACACGUAUGCAAUCUGCCUUGUACUGGGGGAUAGCUUUCGGAAACGAGAAUUAAUAUCCCAUAUACUCCUAACAGCGCAUGCUGAUAGGAGAAAAGCUUUGGCGGUACAAGAUGAGCAUGCGCCCCAUUAGUUAGUUGGUAAGGUAACGGCUUACCAAGGCUACGAUGGGUAGGGGUUCUGAGAGGAAAAUCCCCCACACUGGCACUGAGAUACGGGCCAGACUUCUACGGAAGGCAGCAGUAGGGAAUAUUGGUCAAUGGGCGCAAGCCUGAACCAGCCAUGCCGCGUGCAGGAUGAAGGCCCUCAGGGUCGUAAACUGCUUUUGUACGGGAACAAAAAGCUCCUGCGGGAGUUAUUGAGGGUACCGUAAGAAUAAGCACCGGCUAACUCCGUGCCAGCAGCCGCGGUAAU